rnacentral:lncRNA from 1 species
GACCACAAGUACUCUUCUCUCCGUCGACAUGUCAUGCUUAUCUAAAGACGAAGGGAACGAGAAGAAGAGGUGAGGUGUAGAUCGAACUGUUACAAGUAAAAGCGGGAUCCGCAUAAGAAAGGACUGGACAAAAGAGGCUUCAAAUAUGGCUGGAAUCUCGCGAAUUUUUCCUUGAGGUCGGUAACCAAACCAAACACACCCACUCUAUUAGUUGGAAACCGGAUAAAUGAAGUCUCUUGAUAAAUUAUCAGAACAAAGUCACUUAUCCUGGCUUAUCUAUUAUAUAUAUUAAUAGUGGAUAUAUCUAAUUAAGAGCACUCUUUAUCCGAUUAUCCGAACUGGUUUU